rnacentral:rRNA from 1 species
GGACCCGCACAAGCAGUGGAGCAUGUGGUUUAAUUCGACGCAACGCGAAGAACCUUACCAGCGUUUGACAUGAGAAGUGCCGGUUACAGAAUGGUAACCUUCAGUUCGGCUGGCUUCUACACAGGUGCUGCAUGGCUGUCGUCAGCUCGUGUCGUGAGAUGUUGGUUAAGUCCCGCAACGAGCGCAACCCUUAUCGUUAGUUACUAACAGUUCGGCUGAGGACUCUAGCGAAACUGCCGGUGAUAAGCCGGAGGAAGGUGGGGAUGACGUCAAGUCCUCAUGGCCCUUACACGCUGGGCUACACACGUGCUACAAUGGUUAGGACAAAGAGAUGCGACCUCGCGAGAGUAAGCC